rnacentral:rRNA from 1 species
GACGAACGCUGGCGGCGUGCUUAACACAUGCAAGUCGAACGGAAAGGCCCUGCUUUUGUGGGGUGCUCGAGUGGCGAACGGGUGAGUAACACGUGAGUAACCUGCCCUUGACUUUGGGAUAACUUCAGGAAACUGGGGCUAAUACCGGAUAGGAGCUCCUGCUGCAUGGUGGGGGUUGGAAAGUUUCGGCGGUUGGGGAUGGACUCGCGGCUUAUCAGCUUGUUGGUGGGGUAGUGGCUUACCAAGGCUUUGACGGGUAGCCGGCCUGAGAGGGUGACCGGCCACAUUGGAACUGAGAUACGGCCCAGACUCCUACGGGAGGCAGCAGUGGGGAAUAUUGCACAAUGGGCGGAAGCCUGAUGCAGCAACGCCGCGUGCGGGAUGACGGCCUUCGGAUUGUAAACCGCUUUCGCCUGUGACGAAGCGUGAGUGACGGUAAUGGGUAAAGAAGCACCGGCUAACUACGUG